rnacentral:rRNA from 1 species
CCGUGCAAAGGUAGCAUAAUCAUUUGCCUUAUAAUUGAAGGCUGGAAUGAAUGGUUUGACAAGAAUACCCCUGUCUCCUUUAGAUUAUUUAGAACUUUAUUUUUGGAUGAAAAAGUCCAGAUAUAAUUAAUAGACAAGAAGACCCUAUCGAGCUUUAGAGAAAUUAGUAAACUCAAUAUAAGUCAAUAUAAGUAAAAGAAAGGUUACUAAACACUUUGGUUGGGGCAACCGAGGAGCAGACAAAGCCUCCUUUGAUCUACAAAUCUUACUUGUGUUGAUCCAAUAAUUUUGAUCAAAGGAAUUAGUUACCGUAGGGAUAACAGCAUAAUCUUUUUCAAGAGCCCAUAUCGAAAAAAAGGUUUGUGACCUCGAUGUUGGACCAGAAUAUCCUGAAGAUGCAGAAG